GAAAAACAUAAUCAGAUCAAUUGCAGUGUUUCCUGAGAUAAAGAAAAGGCCAGUAAGAAGGUUUGUGUUGGAAAACCCACCCAAGUCUCCCAUUGUUCUCUGAAAAGCGGGCUCUNUCCACACUUCCGAAGACACAGUUGGAUGCCAACCUGACCGCCCUUCAGCAAGCCAUGUCUGUGCUCCAGGCCAAAGGAGUGGAGAUGGGCAGCCAAAAUGGUGCCCUUCUGGCGGAGAUGGCGCAGUGGCAACAGCAGGUGGUAGGGCUGGAAGAAAAGCUGAAGGUCGCCGUGGGCGAGCAAGCGGCGGCAGAAACGGAGAAGGCGCACUGCGAAGCCCGUCAGACAGCGCUCCAAGAAAGCAUGUGAGCAGGGAGGCCAGAAUACGGGUCACAAAACGAGGAACUGCAAGCAGGAGUCCACUGUGGCCUGAUCCUGCAGGGCUCCUCUUAAUUCAUGGGGGACAGGUGUAUCAAUGGCUACUAGAAUGGAUGCCUGGAUACUGCCUCCAAGUUGNAGAGACAGGCCGGAUGCCUCUGAAGGCCAUUUGCAGGGAGUUAAAGUAAAGGUUUUGCCUCCAUCUUCUGCUUGAGAUGCCCAGAAGCUACUGGUGGGCCNNUGUGUGAGACAGGAUGCUGCACCUGNUGGGUUNUGGCCUGANCCAGCAGGUCUGCUCUUAUGUUCCCUGGAGAAGGCAGACCAUUCAUCUGGUUCAAGCUAUGCAAUGGGUGGCGUUCCUCCGUCUGAUACCUUUCCCCCUUUCCUCCUCUCAGCCACAGCUACCUGUCCGAGAUCGCCUCCCUGCAACGCCGCCUCCACACCCGUUCUUCUUCGUCCCGUCGCAGGUGCCCCCCGUUCCGGUACUUAUUGUGGGGUCUGGCGUGCUUUUGCNUUCUUUUCCCGCUCGAAGGGCUGAGCUUCCGGUUCUGAUCCGAAGCAGCUUUCCGACUGGUUUUUCGAUCCCUCGGGGGAGAUCUUCUGGUCCNACGCUCCCGUCCUCUCAAAGGCCAAGAAGAUACGCAGCUGGGUUCAACCACCACUUGGAGAACUUUUGGGCAGGAGGGUGGAAACGAACGGCCCAGAACCAAAAGAUCAAAUUUGNGCCCUUUGAAUUGGCUGAGUUGGAAUUCAAUGCUGGAUUAAAAUCGUGGUUUCCCACCCCACUGAAGUAGACAUCCUUCUUUGAAUGUUUCCUUUUAGUUGCCAGGCCUGUUCCGUGAAAGCCGGCCUUCGGGAUGUUGUUGGGUUCUUUUAUGUUCUGUGGGAAAUGCAAGGGAGAAGAUCUUGCAAAAUCACAGAAUUAGGCGUGAU
rnacentral:lncRNA from 1 species